GCCAGGGUAGCUCAGUGGUAGAGCAGAGGACUCAUAAGCCUUUGGUCGGAAGUUCAAAUCUUCUCCCUGGCACCA
rnacentral:tRNA from 1 species